CCCAGACAGCCAGGAUGUUGGCUUAGAAGCAGCCAUCAUUUAAAGAAAGCGUAAUAGCUCACUGGUCGAGUCGGCCUGCGCGGAAGAUGUAACGGGGCUAAACCAUGCACCGAAGCUGCGGCAGCGACACUGUGUGUUGUUGGGUAGGGGAGCGUUCUGUAAGCCUGCGAAGGUGGCCUGUGAGGGUUGCUGGAGGUAUCAGAAGUGCGAAUGCUGACAUAAGUAACGAUAAAGCGGGUGAAAAGCCCGCUCGCCGGAAGACCAAGGGUUCCUGUCCAACGUUAAUCGGGGCAGGGUGAGUCGACCCCUAAGGCGAGGCCGAAAGGCGUAGUCGAUGGGAAACAGGUUAAUAUUCCUGUACUUGGUGUUACUGCGAAGGGGGGACGGAGAAGGCUAUGUUGGCCGGGCGACGGUUGUCCCGGUUUAAGCGUGUAGGUGUGUGUUCCAGGUAAAUCCGGUUCACUUUAACACUGAGGCGUGAUGACGAGGCACUACGGUGCUGAAGCAACAAAUGCCCUGCUUCCAGGAAAAGCCUCUAAGCAUCAGGUAACAUCAAAUCGUACCCCAAACCGACACAGGUGGUCAGGUAGAGAAUAC
rnacentral:rRNA from 1 species